rfam:Myotis lucifugus cont2.38934, whole genome shotgun sequence.
CUUGGUGGGGGGGGGGGUCCCUCAGCCUGGAUUGCAAGAGGGCGCAGGCCAGGCUGAGGGACCCCACCAGUGCACG